GAUGAACGCUGGCGGCGUGCUUAACACAUGCAAGUCGAACGGUGAAAGAGAGCUUGCUCUCUGGAUCAGUGGCGAACGGGUGAGUAACACGUGAGCAAUCUGCCCCUGACUCUGGGAUAAGCGCUGGAAACGGCGUCUAAUACCGGAUACGAGCUGCGAUGGCAUCUUCAGCAGCUGGAAAGAACUUCGGUCAGGGAUGAGCUCGCGGCCUAUCAGCUAGUUGGUGAGGUAACGGCUCACCAAGGCGUCGACGGGUAGCCGGCCUGAGAGGGUGACCGGCCACACUGGGACUGAGACACGGCCCAGACUCCUACGGGAGGCAGCAGUGGGGAAUAUUGCACAAUGGGCGAAAGCCUGAUGCAGCAACGCCGCGUGAGGGACGACGGCCUUCGGGUUGUAAACCUCUUUUAGCAGGGAAGAAGCGAAAGUGACGGUACCUGCAGAAAAAGCGCCGGCUAACUACGUG
rnacentral:rRNA from 1 species